rnacentral:rRNA from 1 species
AGCAGUAGCCGCGGUAAUACGGAGGGUGCAAGCGUUAAUCGGAAUUACUGGGCGUAAAGCGCACGCAGGCGGUUUGUUAAGUCAGAUGUGAAAUCCCCGAGCUUAACUUGGGAACUGCAUUUGAAACUGGCAAGCUAGAGUCUUGUAGAGGGGGGUAGAAUUCCAGGUGUAGCGGUGAAAUGCGUAGAGAUCUGGAGGAAUACCGGUGGCGAAGGCGGCCCCCUGGACAAAGACUGACGCUCAGGUGCGAAAGCGUGGGGAACAAACAGGAUUAGAUACCCCAGUAGUCCCUGUCUCUUAUAC